rnacentral:rRNA from 1 species
UACGUAGGGGGCAAGCGUUGUCCGGAUUUACUGGGCGUAAAGAGCGUGUAGGCGGCCAAGCAGGUCCGUUGUGAAAACUGGAGGCUUAACCUCCAGACGUCGACGGAAACCGCGCGGCUAGAGUCCGGAAGAGGAGAGUGGAAUUCCUGGUGUAGCGGUGAAGUGCGCAGAUAUCAGGAAGAACACCAAUGGCGAAGGCAGCUCUCUGGGACGGUACUGACGCUGAGACGCGAAAGCGUGGGGAGCGAACAGG